UCCCUCCCAUCAUCGCCCCCACCAAUCGCUCUCUGCACCACAGAUCUCACUCUCUCUCACUACUCUUCCCUCCAUUUCUCUCUCUCUCUCUCUAGAAAAACGCCACCCCAGCGAUGGCGUCCCUCCCCCUCACCUCCGCCUUAAACCUAGGGUUCCGCCCCCUCAAGAAGUCUUCUUUCUCCGCCGGCAAAUCACCUCCCUUUCUAAACCUCAAAUCCAACCCCCAUCACCUCAAAAUCCACUCCAAACCAUUCUCUCUCAGUAAUAAUAAUAACUUCCCAGUCGAGAAGUCUUCUUUCCACUUAAUCCCCUCCGCCGCCUCCACGCCGUCCGCCGUCCCGGCUCCGCCACCACCGCAGCCAUGGCAGGGCGCCUCCAUGACGCCCCUCCUCGCCUCCCUCGCCACGGGCGUCAUCCUCUGGUUCAUCCCUCCCCCUGCCGGCGUCUCCAAAAUUGCCUGGCAAUUACUGUCUAUAUUCUUAGCCACCAUCGUCGGAAUCAUAACCCAGCCCCUCCCCCUCGGCGCCGUGGCCCUCCUCGGCCUCGGCGCCGCCGUCCUCACCAAGACCCUCCCCUUCGCCGCCGCCUUCUCCGCCUUCGGCGACCCUAUCCCCUGGCUCAUCGCCCUCGCCUUCUUCUUCGCCCGCGGCUUCAUCAAGACCGGCCUCGGCAACCGCGUCGCCUACCAGUUCGUCUCCCUCUUCGGCUCCUCCUCCCUCGGCCUCGGCUACAGCUUAGUCUUCAGCGAAGCCCUAUUGUCCCCAGCCAUCCCCUCCGUCUCCGCUCGCGCCGGCGGCAUCUUCCUCCCCUUGGUCAGAUCCCUCAGCGUCGCCUGCGGGAGCAACGUCGGCGACGGGACGGAGCACAAGCUGGGAUCGUGGCUGAUGCUAACGUGCUUCCAGACGUCGGUGAUUUCGAGCUCGAUGUUUUUAACGGCGAUGGCGGCAAACCCAUUGAGUGCGAACUUGGCGUUCAGUGCGAUCGGGCAGACGAUCGGGUGGAUGGAUUGGGCCAAGGCGGCGAUUGUGCCUGGUUUGGUGUCCUUGAUUUUGGUGCCGUUGAUUUUGUACGUGAUUUAUCCGCCGUCUGUGAAGAGUAGCCCCGAUGCACCCAAGUUGGCGAGGGAGAAGUUGAAUAGUAUGGGACCCAUGUCGAGGAAUGAGAUCAUAAUGGCUGGAACUCUGGUUCUUACGGUCGGACUAUGGGUAUUCGGAGGCGUGCUGAAUGUGGAUGCGGUUACUGCUGCCAUCCUUGGUUUAUCUGUUCUCCUAAUAACAGGGGUUGUCACUUGGAAGGAAUGCUUAGCCGAAUCGGUUGCUUGGGAUACUCUCACGUGGUUUGCUGCACUCAUUGCAAUGGCUGGUUAUCUCAACAAAUAUGGUCUUAUCUCAUGGUUCAGCCAAACUGUUGUUAAGUUUGUUGGCGGAUUGGGUCUUUCAUGGCAGCUAUCUUUUGGCAUCUUGGUUCUUCUCUAUUUCUACUCUCACUACUUCUUUGCCAGUGGAGCAGCUCAUAUCGGUGCAAUGUUUACAGCUUUCUUGUCAGUUGCUAGUGCUUUAGGGACCCCACCAUACUUGGGAGCCAUGGUUCUUGCCUUCCUUUCCAACUUGAUGGGAGGCCUCACCCACUACGGGAUCGGAUCAGCACCCGUUUUCUAUGGUGCAAACUACGUUCCUCUUGCUAAAUGGUGGGGCUACGGAUUCCUCAUCUCCAUUGUCAAUCUCAUUAUUUGGCUUGGUGUUGGAGGGGUUUGGUGGAAGUUCCUUGGUUUGUGGUAGAGGGGGUUGGUUUGGUUAAUUUGCCGAGCCAAACUUAAAUGAUUUCCUUAUUUCUGCUCGCCCGAAGGUUCAGGGGUCUUUACAGUUUGGAAGUGAGGCUAUAUUCGCUGCUUGGUUGAGAUUGCUUCCAAAUCCACUUCUAGCUGUUCUAGAGCUAUUAAGAUGCCCCAUUGUUUGAUGUUGUUUUUGUUUCUGUUUCAAGUGGAGAGGGCAUUGUUAUCAAGUAAGCUGGAAUUUUGUGCACUUUGUAUAUCCUUUAGGUCUCUGUAGAAGUUGUGUCCGAUGAAUAUCAACAUUAUUGAAGGAUCCAGAAGGAUUUGAGCACUUGGUUAGCAUAUGAAUUUAGCAUUUAUUUGCG